GAUGCCACGUGGCGGUAUAGGUAUUCUUGUAUUUUUGCGGUUCUCGUUUUUUGUUCGAGGAACGUUACCUGUAAGAAGAAAGAGAGAGAGAACGUUUAAUUGACAGCAAAACAUUAGGAAUUCAUUUAUCAUUGCAAGAUUAUACCAUGGAUUUGAGCUUGAUGGCAAAAGUCUUUGCAUCGGGUCUUUCUUCCUUCAUUUGGGCGAUAAAAUCUUCGAGUGUUUGAUGAAUUUCCGGUUCUGAUUGUUUUUCGUUUUGAUCCGCAGGGUUUUCCAACACUUGAUAUAUCACUUCAGGAACCUGAUCAAGAACCAGGUAAAUGUUCGAUAACAUUGAAAUUGUAUGCAAUAAGAUGAUAUAUUUAUUUGGUGGCCUGAAUUUGUUGACAUUGUAUUAUUGGUAAUAAAGAAAUUAAAGAAAUCUUGAAUAAUGAUUAGACAGAAAAAUUGUAUAAUUUAAGAAGUAAGUCUCAAGAAAUUACAUCUGUUUCAAAUCUUCUUCCCAAAAUUCGUGGUCCUAAUUUUUUCCCCAAACAACCUGAGUUGGAACAUAAACAUAGUAUUCUAUCAGUGAUUGAGUAAAUAGCAAGAAAUAUAUAUAUAUAUAUAUAUAUAUAUAUAUAUAUAUAGCAUGAGAUUAUUGGGUGAAAUAUAUAAUCGAAAUCUUAUUAGAAUUUGCAUGUGCAUUGGAGGAAUCGAUCAUUUAUUGUUGGAUAAUUAUUUAGUUACUUUUUAUGAUUUUAUUAUUAUCAUUAUCAUCAAUAAGAGUUCGAACAUACCUAUAGUCGAGCAUUUCCUUUCCCCGUCAAUAGUAUCAACUGCAGUUAAUACGAAAACGAACCGAAGAAGAAAAGUGACGAGCAAAAGAGAGUAGAAAACCAUGCGAUAGGAUAAUUUUCUUGAUCCAUUCUUCACUUUGAUGAAUUCUCUAAAUCCUUUUGCAGGCAAAACCGUGACGUGUCUCAAGCUCGGAGAUAUAUGCAGCUGCAUUAUUUCCGACUUAUUUUUUCCUCAGAAAAAAAUAAUAAAAUCUAAACCAAGAACCGAAUGACAAAUGCUGUUGAGGUGAAGAAUUGCCGAAAACGGAAGGUUUUGAGGGGGUGUUUAGAGUUGCUAUCGAUUACCUAAACUUGCUUAGGAUAUAGGUUAUUGGAUUUACGUAAGUUUAUUCUUUGUUUUGUAUUUUUAAUUUUUUCGGGUUUUCUUUCGUUAUUUAUUGCAGGAACAAAUAUUAUAGUGACAGACAAGGAAGAGAGGUUGUUUGAAGGAAAAGGACUGGAUACUGACAAAGGGCUCAUGUUUUUCUUGAUUGGUUUUGUGUUAGAGAAAAGUAAGUUU
rnacentral:lncRNA from 1 species